rnacentral:lncRNA from 1 species
UUUUUGAGAUUUUAAUAAUUCCAUUGAACAUUGCAUAAUUUUUGUGCAGGGAGGAGGGUCGUUGAAUUCACUCAAAGACAUGCCUGGCGCGCUGGAGACUUCUUUGAGAAAUGUAUACGCUACUAAUAUAUAAGAUGCAAUCAUUUCUCUUUUCAUUUCGUCGAAGAUGUGGUCCGAAUUAUACAAAUAAUGUUCAAAUGUUGACAUAGGUUGAGGGUACCGUUCAGUAGUUCACUAUAAUUUAUUCUUUUUGUCAGAACGUUUGCACUAAUUGAGACAGGUUUGCUUACUUUAAUUUGUUUACUU